GACGAACGCUGGCGGCGUGCUUAACACAUGCAAGUCGAACGGAAAGGCCCUGCUUUUGUGGGGUGCUCGAGUGGCGAACGGGUGAGUAACACGUGAGUAUCCUGCCCUUGACUUUGGGAGAACUUCAGGAAACUGGGGCUAAUACCGGAUAGGAGCUCCUGCUGCAUGGUGGGGGUUGGAAAGUUUCGGCGGUUGGGGGUGGACUCGCGGCUUACCAGCUUGUUGGUGGGGUAGUGGCUUACCAAGGCUUUGACGGGUAGCCGGCCUGAGAGAGUGACCGGCGACAUUGGGACUGAGGUACGGCCCCGAUUGCGACGGGAGGGAGAAGUGGGGAAGAUUGCACAAUGGACGCAGGCUGGGUGAAGCAGCGCCGCGUGCGGGAAGACGGUCUUCGGGGUGUAGACCACUUGCGCCUGUAACGAAGCGUGAGUGGCGGUAAUGGGUAAAGAAGGCCCGGCUAAAUACGUG
rnacentral:rRNA from 1 species